GACGGAGGAUGCAAGUGUUAUCCGGAAUCACUGGGCGUAAAGCGUCUGUAGGUGGUUUAAUAAGUCAACUGUUAAAUCUUGAGGCUCAACCUCAAAAUCGCAGUCGAAACUAUUAGGCUAGAGUAUAGUAGGGGUAAAGGGAAUUUCCAGUGGAGCGGUGAAAUGCGUAGAGAUUGGAAAGAACACCGAUGGUGAAGGCACUUUACUGGGCUAUUACUAACACUCAGAGACGAAAGCUAGGGUAGCAAAUGGG
rnacentral:rRNA from 1 species